GACGAACGCUGGCGGCGUGCUUAACACAUGCAAGUCGAACGGAAAGGCCCUGCUUUUGUGGGGUGCUCGAGUGGCGAGCGGGUGAGUAACACGUGAGUAACCUGCCCUUGACUUUGGGAUAACUUCAGGGAACUGGGGCUAAUACCGGAUAGGAGCUCCUGCUGCAUGGUGGGGGUUGGAAAGUUUCGGCGGUUGGGGAUGGACUCGCGGCUUAUCAGCUUGUUGGUGGGGUAGUGGCUUACCAAGGCUUUGACGGGUAGCCGGCCUGAGAGGGUGACCGGCCACAUUGGGACUGAGAUACGGCCCAGACUCCUACGGGAGGCAGCAGUGGGGAAUAUUGCACAAUGGGCGGAAGCCUGAUGCAGCAACGCCGCGUGCGGGAUGACGGCCUUCGGGUUGUAAACCGCUUUCGCCUGUGACGAAGCGUGAGUGACGGUAAUGGGUAAAGAAGCACCGGCUAACUACGUG
rnacentral:rRNA from 1 species